rnacentral:rRNA from 1 species
AGUGAACGCUGGCGGCGUGCUUAACACAUGCAAGUCGAACGAGAACGGAUUAUAGCUUGCUAUAAUUGUCAGCUAAGUGGCGCACGGGUGAGUAAUGUAUAGGUAAUAUGCCUCUUACUAAGGGAUAACAAAUGGAAACGUUUGCUAAUACCUUAUACUCCUUAUUAACAGAAGUUAAUAAGGGAAAGAUUUAUUGGUAAGAGAUUAGCCUGUAUUGUAUCAGUUAGUUGGUGGGGUAAUGGCUUACCAAGACUAUGACACAUAACUGGUUUGAGAGGAUGAGCAGUCACACUGGAACUGAGACACGGUCCAGACUCCUACGGGAGGCAGCAGUGGGGAAUAUUGCACAAUGGACGAAAGUCUGACGCAGCAACGCCGCGUGGAGGAUGACACAUUUCGGUGCGUAAACUCCUUUUAUAUGAGAAGAUAAUGACGGUAUUAUAUGAAUAAGCACCGGCUAACUCCGUGCCAGCCGCCGCAGUAA